UUACCUCUAAUGCUACACCGAUUUAACGCUUCAGCGCUUACAAGGAAAGAGACUUCGUGGCGUUCAAGGGGAAGCUCCAACAGCUGCUCGACCGUAUCCCUUCCUGAAGGAUAAUCUGAGCGAGACAUGACUGCAUAAGAAAACAAAAGACAUCAGCAUCAGACAGUUAAAGAAAGUCGUGGCAGUUUCUAUGACCCACCAGCUACACACCAAUUGGGAGAGAGUCCAGGAAAAGACAUAAAAGCAAACUUCAAAGUCCAACACCCCUCAAAGACAGGGCAAAAUUUUUUUCUCAGCCUUCGAAAGCUCCAGCACAUGAAGCGCUUUUCCACGAGGACGCAAACGAUAAAACCCUCAAGAUCACCGAGAUUCUGCAUAGCUAUCAAGAUCCUCCAGAAAGGAGGAUUCUGCUGCCCAGGGGAGAUCCUUCGAGAUCUCGGCAACCAAAGAAGGAACCUGGUCUCUGAAACCCGAUUCGAAGAAACCUUCAUAUACAGGGACCUCACCCAGCU
rnacentral:lncRNA from 1 species